rnacentral:rRNA from 1 species
CUGGCUCAGGAUGAACGCUGGCGGCGUGCUUAACACAUGCAAGUCGAACGAAGCAUGCAGGACGGAGUUUUUCGGAACGAAGGAAUGCAUGACUUAGUGGCGGACGGGU